CGGCGCCGCGCAGAGCGCGAGGCCGUUAACCGAGCUGCGGCCGACAGAUUUGCUGUGGCCUGAACCUCAACUGGAGAGGAUUUUCAAAAAGAGGAAAAUGACAAAGAAGUGAGACUAUAGGACAGAAAUUCUCUCUCCCUUCUCUACUCACCGCAAAAAAAUGCUUGAAAGACAAAUGAAGCAUCAUUGGAUGGGGAAGUGAUCCUGGCUGAAAGAUUCAGCCAGUAAGACUGUUAGAACAUAUGGUGAGAGCGAUCCUUUGCUUCAAAUUCAUUUAGCUUGUUAAGUUAGGUGUUAGUUUGCAUUUUACCUUUUAUUUCUUUGUAACCAAUUCUGAAUUUUAUGCCUCAUUACUUGUAAUCACUUUAAAUCUAUCUGUAUUUAAUAAACUUGUUUUGUUUUUA